GACGAACGCUGGCGGCGUGCUUAACACAUGCAAGUCGAGCGGUAAGGCCCUUUCGGGGGUACACGAGCGGCGAACGGGUGAGUAACACGUGGGUGACCUGCCCUCAGCUCUGGGAUAAGCCUGGGAAACCGGGUCUAAUACCGGAUAUGACUCCAUGACGCAUGUUGUGGGGUGGAAAGCCUUGUGCGGCUGAGGAUGGGCCCGCGGCCUAUCAGCUUGUUGGUGGGGUGAUGGCCUACCAAGGCGACGACGGGUAGCCGGCCUGAGAGGGCGACCGGCCACACUGGGACUGAGACACGGCCCAGACUCCUACGGGAGGCAGCAGUAAGGAAUAUUGCGCAAUGGGCGAAAGCCUGACGCAGCGACGCCGCGUGGGGA
rnacentral:rRNA from 1 species